rnacentral:misc_RNA from 1 species
GAUGAAGAACGUAGCGAAAUGCGAUAAGUAAUGUGAAUUGCAGAAUUCAGUGAAUCAUCGAAUCUUUGAACGCACAUUGCGCCCUCUGGUAUUCCGGGGGGCAUGCCUGUUCGAGCGUCAUUAUAACCACUCAAGCUCUCGCUUGGUAUUGGGGUUCGCGGUUUCGCGGCCCCUAAAAUCAGUGGCGGUGCCUGUCGGCUCUACGCGUAGUAAUACUUCUCGCGAUUGAGUUCGAUAGGUCUACUUGCCAGGAACCCCCAAUUUUUACAGGUUGACCUCGGAUCAGGUAGGGAUACCCGCUGAACUUAAGCAUAUCAAUAAGCGGAGGA